ensembl:lncRNA
CUUCCAGCAAAGCGCAGCCUUGCAGAAAGACAAGGCAGAAGUGCCCAGUGUGGCACAGCACCGGAGAGAGAGAGAGGUGCUGAGCCAAAUGGAAAGAUCUACAUGAAAGUGAUGCAGAAAGUCCUUUCGGAGAGAGCUCAUCUCCAGGCUGGAGGGCUUCCUACAACAGCAGGUUCCAGUGCACGGAGAAGACCUUCCCCUGCUGUGUGUCCCUGCUCUGUCUCCAAGUCCUUGGCUGGAUGUAAACGCAAGGCGCUUGGAAGAAGAGAAACCAACAGCAGCACAGCUGCCUGCUAACAAAAGAGUGAGGGGUCAGAGCAGAGACAGCAUGCUGGCUCCAGCAGCACACCCUGGGCCUGCUGCAGCGCGGAGCUCCAAGCUAAGAGAGGGGAAAAGAGUGGAAGGCUACGAAGUCCAAAGGCAGUGAGCAAGAAGACGACGACAAAAAGAGAGGAGAGGGGAAUUGAUGAAAGCUGCCCUCAGAGCUGCUGCUGCACGUGCAGAGUCCUCCGCAGUGAACAGCCUUGUGGAGAUGAUGCAGAAGCUGCAGCUGAAGGACUGAGAGGCGGAGUGUCAGGAAGCAGCGGCUGCAGUGCACGGCGUUACAGGGCAGCGCUGUGAGUGCCGCCCAACUUGGCACUCCAACUUCCGACGUAGUCAAUAAAAACCAGUUGCAAUUAG